GGGCCCGCACAAGCGGUGGAGUAUGUGGUUUAAUUCGAUGCAACGCGAAGAACCUUACCUGGCCUUGACAUGCAUCUCUAAGCGUGUGAAAGCACGUGACCCCUCGGGGAAUUUGCACAGGUGCUGCAUGGCUGUCGUCAGCUCGUGUCGUGAGAUGUUGGUUAAGUCCCGCAACGAGCGCAACCCUUGUGUCCUGUUGCCACUUCCGCUAGCGCGGAAAGCACUCUGGACAGACUGCCUCGUCUCAACGAGGAGGAAGGUGGGGAUGACGUCAAGUCAGUAUGGCCCUUACGGCCAGGGCUGCACACGUACUACAAUGGCAUUUACAGUGGGAAGCAAUACGGCGACGUGGAG
rnacentral:rRNA from 1 species